rnacentral:misc_RNA from 1 species
UUUGUUCAUCACUUGGUUCACAUAUUUGGGUGGGGAAAAUUCAACAACCAAGCUCAGUUGAAGGUGGAGGAUGGCAUGGGCUUUUGGUUUUGGCAGUAGCUAGCUAUUAGUGUAUUUUUUUUUUAGUGCUAAAUUUUAGUCAAUAAAAUUCAGUCUUUAGCUUUGUAUUUUUGUCUCCCNNNNNNNNNNAAUAUGGUACCCAUUAUUUCUCGUUAAUGUUGUUGAAAAAUGGGAGACAAAAAUACAAAGCUAAAGACUGAAUUUUAUUGACUAAAAUUUAGCACUAAAAAAAAA